UACCCACCUUUAAAGAGUGCCCUGGG
rnacentral:piRNA from 1 species